rnacentral:rRNA from 2 species
UACGGGGGGGGCUAGCGUUAUUCGGAAUCAUUGGGCGUAAAGGGCGCGUAGGCGGCGCGGUAAGUCAAAGGUGAAAUCCCUCGGCUCAACUGAGGAACUGCCUUUGAAACUGCCGUGCUUGAGUCCGGGAGGGGGUAGCGGAAUUCCCAGUGUAGCGGUGAAAUGCGUAGAUAUUGGGAGGAACACCAGUGGCGAAGGCGGCUACCUGGACCGGUACUGACGCUGAUGCGCGAAAGCGUGGGGAGCAAACAGG